rnacentral:rRNA from 1 species
GGUUGACCUCACAUCAGGUAGGAAUACCCGCUGAACUUAAGCAUAUCAAUAAGCGGAGGAAAAGAAACCAACAGGGAUUGCCCUAGUAACGGCGAGUGAAGCGGCAACAGCUCAAAUUUGAAAUCUGGCGCAAGCCCGAGUUGUAAUUUGUAGAGGAUGUUUCUGGCGAAGUGCCUUCCGAGUUCCCUGGAACGGGACGCCAUAGAGGGUGAGAGCCCCGUACGGUUGGAUGCCUAGCCUCUGUGAAACUCCUUCGACGAGUCGAGUAGUUUGGGAAUGCUGCUCUAAAUGGGAGGUAUACGUCUUCUAAAGCUAAAUACCGGCCAGAGACCGAUAGCGCACAAGUAGAGUGAUCGAAAGAUGAAAAGCACUUUGAAAAGAGGGUUAAAAAGUACGUGAAAUUGUUGAAAGGGAAGCGUUCAUGACCAGACUUGGGCAGGUUGAUCAUCCGUGGUUCUCCGCGGUGCACUCUGCCUGCCCAGGCCAGCAUCAGUUCGCCCCGGGGGAUAAAGGUUUCGGGAAUGUGGCUCCUCCGGGAGUGUUAUAGCCCGUUGCGUAAUACCCUGGGGUGGACUGAGGUUCGCGCUCCGCAAGGAUGCUGGCGUAAUGGUCAUCAACGACCCGUCUUGAAACACGGACCAAGGAGUCGUCUUCGUAUGCGAGUGUUCGGGUGUCAAACCCCUACGCGUAAUGAAAGUGAACGUAGGAGAGAGCUUCGGCGCAUCUCCGACCGAUCCUGAUGUUCUCGGAUGGAUUUGAGUAAGAGCAUACGGGGCCGGACCCGAAAGAAGGUGAACUAUGCCUGUAUAGGGUGAAGCCAGAGGAAACUCUGGUGGAGGCUCGCAGCGGUUCUGACGUGCAAAUCGAUCGUCAAAUAUGGGCAUGGGGGCGAAAGACUAAUCGAACCUUCUAGUAGCUGGUUUCCGCCGAAGUUUCCCUCAGGAUAGCAGUAUUGAACUCAGUUUUAUGAGGUAAAGCGAAUGAUUAGGGACCCGGGGGCGCUAUAUUGCCUUCAUCCAUUCUCAAACUUUAAAUAUGUAAGAAGCCCUUGUUGCUUAAUUGAACGUGGGCA